rfam:Gossypium raimondii Chr04_contig_1083, whole genome shotgun sequence.
UGUGGGCAUGUGAUGAAUCUCAUAUUUUAAUGGGUAAUUUGCGUCUGAAUUAGUAUUUCUUUGAUGGUAAAUCACCUUGGAGACCUGAUGCCCACC